rnacentral:rRNA from 1 species
UUUUUAAAUCUACCUGGAGGAGCUUGCUAUUUAACCGAUAACCCACGAUACACCUCACCAAUCUUUGAAAAAUCAAUCUGUAUACCAUCGUCAUCAGCCUACCUCCUAAGAGAAGUACACGAAAAGAAUAAACACUUCAUUACGUCAGAUCGAGGUGCAGUUAAUAGAUUGGGGAUAAGCGAGCUACAAUACUAUAAUAAUAACCUAAUAUUAAUACCACUAUAAAUAAACCCAUGAAACAGGUUUUGAAAUAGAAUUCAGAAGUAAUAAAAAAAAGAAAAAUUUUAUGAAAUAAUAAGCUCUAAAAUACGU